UGUUAAAAAUUUUAUUUAUUUUUGCGAUUAAAAAUUGACAUGACUAACAAAAUAAAAUAGACAAUUACACACGGUAUAACACGUGCCCCUCGUUUUGAGGUACAAAGACCAAUUUUUAAUUGUAGAAAUUGAUUAAUUAUUUAACA
rnacentral:pre_miRNA from 1 species